AUCUCAUGUGUCUCAUGUUCACUGUGAGGAUCUUCUAAAUGAAGCCAACAGAAGGAAAACCUCAUCUGGUGUGAAGAAGGAGAGUGAAUGGACGACAUCGUCAGUGAACCACUUCCUGUUUAACUUUCACUUACAGAAGGACAGACCAACUGCUUCAGGAGUUUAUUAUUCUCUGUUCAGCAGACAGGUGCUCUGCUUUGAAGUGUGACGAUGUCGUCGGUGAUGUGGAGACUGACGUUCCCGUUUCACCCACAGCAUGCUUUAGGACACCCGGCUCGGACUUGAUUAGGGCUGCAGCUAACAAAGCCUCGAGUAAUCGUCUGAGCACGAUACGUCAUCAAAAGCGGAAAGUGAAAGUAGGAGUUCCUCCUUAAGGUCAGAGAUUGCAGCAUCUGAGGGCCUCUUCAAAAGAAGAUGUAGUUGAUGAAGGCGUUCUGGAGCAGGACCAGAAAGACCACGACCAAGCAGCCUUGAGAUCUUAGGCAGCGUCUCCCUAAAGGUGGGUGUCAACGGUGUUCACGGUCAGGUCUGUGGUAAUCCCGUCAAAACACAAAACAGAAAAAAAUGUAGAUUAUAAAUCAAUUGAAAAUAUUAGUUUUUGUCUUUUUUAUUGACCAAACUUUUCAGAAAGUAGAUGAAGACUUACUAAAGCUCUCAUAUAAAAGUCCAGCUUAUUUUGGAUCCCUAUGGAGAUUUUAGUCUUCAUGCUUAAUAGCAACAUUUACUAAACCUAAAGCUUCCCUGUUGGCUCAUUGGUGGAGUUUGUUCCCGAGCAUCUGAACCUUAAAUCCAGUGAGAGGACCAUCUCCAGUCAGAGAACUUCAAGACCUUCCAUCGGCUGGACCAGAUGUGACGUCAGCUCCCUCUGAACAUCUGGAUGACAGGAGGAAAGACAGAAAUCAAACACAGAUCACAGAAAUACAAUUUAUUCACUUUCAUCAUUUCAUAAAAGUAGCAUGAACUUUAUUAAAACUGGACAUCAUCAGUAAUGAGAAUAAAUGUUUUUAUCUCAUCCUA